rnacentral:rRNA from 1 species
AGUGAACGCUGGCGGUAGGCCUAACACAUGCAAGUCGAACGGCAGCACAGUAAUAGCUUGCUCUUACGGGUGGCGAGUGGCGUACGGGUGAGGUAUACAUCGGAAUCUACUUUUUCGUGUGUGUUAACGUAGGGAAACUUACGCUAAUACCGCAUACGACCUACGGGUGAAAGCAGGGGAUCUUCGGACCUUGCGCGAUUGAAUGGGCCGAUGUCGGAUUAGCUAGUUGGCGGGGUAAAGGCCCACCAAGGCGACGAUCCGUAGCUGGUCUGAGAGGAUGAUAAGCCACACUGGAAGUGAGACACGGACCAGACUCCUACGGGAGGCAGCAGUGGGGAAUAUUGGACAAUGGGCGCAAGCAUGAUCCAGCAAUACCGAGUGGGUGAAGAAGGACUUCGGGUUGUAAAGAACUUUUGUUGGGAAAGAAAAGCAGCAGGUUAAAACCAAGAUGUUAUGACGGUACCGAAAGAAUAAGCACCGGCUAACUUCGUG